rnacentral:rRNA from 1 species
CAGUCGCCGCGGGAAUACAGAGGGUGCGAGCGUUAAUCGGAUUUACUGGGCGUAAAGCGUGCGUAGGCGGCUUCUUAAGUCGGAUGUGAAAUCCCUGAGCUUAACUUAGGAAUUGCAUUCGAUACUGGGAAGCUAGAGUAUGGGAGAGGAUGGUAGAAUUCCAGGUGUAGCGGUGAAAUGCGUAGAGAUCUGGAGGAAUACCGAUGGCGAAGGCAGCCAUCUGGCCUAAUACUGACGCUGAGGUACGAAAGCAUGGGGAGCAAACAGGAUUAGAUACCCGAGUAGUCCCUGUCUCUUAUAU